rnacentral:rRNA from 1 species
GAUGAACGCUAGCGGCAGGCUUAAUACAUGCAAGUCGUGGGGCAGCAUGAGUAGCAAUACUUGAUGGCGACCGGCAAACGGGUGCGGAACACGUACACAACCUUCCGAUAAGUGGGGAAUAGCCCAGAGAAAUUUGGAUUAAUACCCCGUAACAUAUAGAGUAGGCAUCUUCUUUAUAUUAUAGCUUCGGCGCUUAUUGAUGGGUGUGCGUCUGAUUAGGUAGUUGGCGGGGUAACGGCACACCAAGCCUACGAUCAGUAGCUGAUGUGAGAGCAUGAUCAGCCACACGGGCACUGAGACACGGGCCCGACUCCUACGGGAGGCAGCAGUAAGGAAUAUUGGACAAUGGGCGAAAGCCUGAUCCAGCCAUGCCGCGUGAAGGAUUAAGGUCCUCUGGAUUGUGAACUUCUUUUAUUUGGGACGAAAAAAGGGAAUUCUUUCCCACUUGACGGUACCAAGUGAAUAAGCACUGGCUAACUCCGUGCCAGCCGCCGCUGUAAAAC